UUCACUAACUUGUGGACAGAAAUCAAGUUGUGUUUAAAAGAAGGAACCAGCAGUACAUUGUGAAGAGUGGUAGAAGGAGUCAAUGCAAAAGAACCUGUGCAUGUUACUUUCACUUUAUAUCCAUUAGGAAGAGUGACAAGAUAAGGCAGAGUUAAAGUGUGAUGUUAAAAAGUAACUGUUUAUCAUGUGUCAUGUGAUUAGAGGCACCUGAAUCUAUAAUCCAGGUGACAGAAUUAAUAUUGGUAAGCAUGCGGAGUUUGGAAUCAGAAAUAGGGCUCUCAGUUAACAUAGUACCAGCAAAGUUAGCAGCAUACAUGGGAGGAGGAGUUUGAGCAGUGGAGUCCCC
rnacentral:lncRNA from 1 species